UUAGUUUGUCCUAAGUCAGACUUAUUCAACUUUGACUAAAUUUAUAGAAAAAUAUAAUAAUAAUUAUAAUAUCAAAGAUAUACACUAUAAAAACAUAUUUUAUGAUGGAUUCAACCAAACAAAUUUGGUAUUAUAAAUUUUGUUAUAUUUUUCUAUAAAAUUGAUCAAAGUUGAAUAAGUUUGACUUAGUACAAACCGAA
rnacentral:pre_miRNA from 1 species